AGAGACACUAGGGCUUACGUGGUUCGGAUAUGAAUAUCCUACGUCCACGGCAGAAGAGAUGAAGAUUUUAUUGAUCAAGAACAAUCACUCACAAUUCACAGACUCAAGAUUGAGUGUUACAGCCACAUCAUGCUGUCAACAACCACUCUCUAGCUCUCUGUAACUAACAAGACUCACAGCUCAACAAAGAAGAAGAAUUCAUCUGUGAUAAUGAGCUGACUCACAACAUAUAUACUUCACACACAUACACACACCGAGGGUGAUAACUAACACUACAACUAACUCCUCAAAGUAUUAGCUAUUUGCAGUCAGAUCCCUCUUGUAUGAAGAAAAUAUAUAAGUUGAAGCCACAUACUUCACA
rnacentral:lncRNA from 1 species